rnacentral:snoRNA from 1 species
CGAUGAUGAGAUUAUAUAGCUGGCACCAGUCAGAGAAAAGAUGGAUUUCGAUUCAUCUUUUGUGUUGAUUAGCUCCCGGUCCGGGGACGCUACCCGUGAUCACUGAG